UACGAAGGUCCCGAGCGUUGUUCGGAAUCACUGGGGUUAAAGGGAGCGUAGGCGGACUUGUAAGUCAGGUGUGAAAUCCCAGAGCUCAACUGUGGAACUGCCUUUGAUACUGGUUGUCUUGAGUGUGAAAGAGGUAUGUGGAACUCCGAGUGUAGAGGUGAAAUGCGUAGAUAUUCGGAAGAACUCCAGUGGCGAAGGCAACAUACUGGCGCAUAACUGACGCUGAGGCUCGAAGGUGUGGGGAGCAAACAGG
rnacentral:rRNA from 1 species